rnacentral:tRNA from 1 species
GCCGGGGUGGCUCAGUGGCAGAGCACCUCCUUGGUAAGGAGGUGGCCGCGGGUUCGAUUCCCGCCCUCGGCU